rnacentral:misc_RNA from 1 species
GAUGAAGAACGCAGUGAAAUGCGAUAAGUAAUGUGAAUUUCAGAAUUCAGUGAAUCAUCGAAUCUUUGAACGCACAUUGCGCCCGCCAGUAUUCUGGCGGGCAUGCCUGUUCGAGCGUCAUUUCAACCAUCAAGCCCCAGGCUUGUGUUGGGGACCUGCGGCUGCCGCAGGCCCUGAAAACCAGUGGCGGGCUCGCUGUCACACCGGGCGUAGUAGAUUUUAUCUCGCUCAGGGCGUGCUGCGGGUUCCGGCCGUUAAAAAGCCUUUUUUACCCAAGGUUGACCUCGGAUCAGGUAGGAAUACCCGCUGAACUUAAGCAUAUCAAUAAGCGGAGGA